CCAACAGCUUUAUUUAAAGCCACAGAGAGAACAAAGAAGGUACAUU
rfam:Ficedula albicollis isolate OC2 chromosome 1, whole genome shotgun sequence.